AAGUUUCCAAGCCCUCUUCCACAACACUAGACAAGGUACUGCUGGUGGGAUUCCUAGCGGAGCAAUUUGCCCGAAUCUCCCCUUGUGUUCCCGUCAGCACAUUCAACAUUCCCAUCUUAAGCAUACCAAUAAUAAAAUUCUCGUAAAACAAGCUCUGGUUGACAGCAAAACUUGUGACAAUGCUCCGUGUCCUGUUAUCCGUAUACAAAUCCUGGUCCGAAGUGAACAGCCCUUGCCGAUUCAUGAGGUCGACAUAGUACUUGUUGUCGAAUACAUUCGGGGUUCGGAUAUCGAGAUUAGUCGUGUUGGUAGAGUUUGUGGUUGGACAAGUGAUUUUGAGGUUCGUAGCAAAGGUUUGAUCCAUGGUAGAGUCUUGGGUGGGGUAGAGUCUACUGGUGAAAGAAGUGCAAUGACCAAUGCCGAUUGUGUGGCCCCCGGAGAGUGCGACAGCGUCGGUGGUGGUGAGAUUUUUGGUGGCCAGAGAGGAGAGGAUGUCACUCGUAUUCGAAGUUGGUGCGGGAAGGUUAGCGAGAGUGUCAUUUUGGGUUGCGAAGUCGAGGCUGUCGCGGCGUCCGAAUGGCACGCUGUAGUUUGGACCACCGGACUGUUUAAGAGACAAAAAAAAUAGUGAAUUAAUUAGGUAUACAUAAAAUUAUGCUACAAAAGUCUUGAAUGAAAAUACCAAAAUCUAAAUGUAAUGUCUGUCUAUAUAUUAUUACUAUAUGAAUCCAGAACAUUUGUUAUAUUUGGUAAUGCAUCCUGCUGGGAGCGGAUCUGGAAACAAAAUCUUGAGGACACCAAGCAAAUUUUCAGAAAACGUUUAUAUGUUUUUAAAUUUUGGGGGACAAUUUUAUAAUUGUGUAAAAUUUAGAAUGGUGAAGAAAAUGUAAAAAAAGUUCUUGGGGAGGCACUUGUCCCCCGUGCCUCUUACUAGAUCCGCUCCUGCAUCUUGCAGUACGUUCUUGAAAAAAAAAAUUCUCAUCAGGACUCAAGAGCCAUGAUCUAGUUACCGAAACAAAAACAUGUAGCAUGAAAAAGAAAAUAAUAGAGUUUUAUAUAUAAACUCCAUCAAUCUUGCGCUCACAAAGCUAGAAAGUUAUGGGUAAUUAGGUGGGUAUUUACCAGAACAACUGCAUCACGAGCCGCAACAGCAGUAAUAUCAGCACAUGAGACAACACUCCCACAUUGAUUCUGAACUAGGCUCCUGAGUUCUUCGAUGAUCUGAAAAGCCUGGGGCCUUAAUGUAAGGUUCGGUGUUGCAUUUUUUUCGCCUGGUCCACUUGCUGAACCAUCUAGCAGAACUGACGCAUCACAUCCCUGGCAUCGUAUAUAUAUUACAGACAACACUACAUAAAUUGCCAUCGAAUAAUUUUAAAUCCUCAGCAGUUAAUCAAGAAAAAUUAAUAAUUACCAACAGUUUAUUAAGUUCUAGAGUAUAAUUAUAUAGCAAAUAAAAAAAAGUCUUUUAAUUUCACAUAUCUGAAAUUAUCUGAAUACCUCAACUGGUGCAAAUAAGAAAAUAAACUAACAGCUCCACUGUCUCUAACUAAAACUUAGUAAGAACAAUUAUGAUGACGAUGAGUGUAAGUUUGAAAUGUAGAAACCUGCACAAAACAAUCAUGGAAGUGCAACCGGAGCAAUCCAGCCGCAAGUCCUAUAUCGGAGGCGAACUCAGUCUGAAGCCUUGUCCUGACGAUGGUUUCAAAGUCAGGGCAGCUUGUAUUAUAGAAAGUGUAGGAGAGUCCUGACACCAGAGGCGGAGUUUGUGCUUCCGACACAUACAAGUAGCCGGAAGAGAGUAGCAAAAGACAUGGUACGAUAAGUAGUUGGGAAAUUAAAGAAGCAAAAGUUGAGGCCAUGAUUUUUGUUGCUUCUAUGUUUGUUCAGGUAUUAAGUGCAAGGGAGCCUGUAUAUAUACAAUUUUUUGAUUGACGUAGAUAGCUAACUAGGUUGAAAAUCCCAUGCACUUCACUAGCCGCAGAUAUUUACAAUUUCGGGGAUUUUUUUUUUAUUAUUUCUCGACGCAACGUGAUAAAAUUAAUCUUUUGGGGAUUUCAUAAAAUGCUAACAUCGAUCGAUAAAUGUUGAGAGUGAAACCGGAAUUAACAAAAAAUGCUUUCUAUUGUACAGUAGUAAGUAUAAUUUAUACUACAUUGCGCGGUAAUGAUAUCAUUUAACACAUAUUAAUCCACAUUAAUUACACCAAACUUAGAUUACCCUAAUUGUUUGAAGUUUGAUAUUACACUGAUUGUUAAUUUGAAGUUUGAUAGUACAUAUUUGGACUAUCAAUUGGUGUCCGUUGAUAUGUUAUCUACUUUCGAAUUUUCUAUGGUGUGCGCAAGGGCACACAAUAGUCACUAACUCCCAUGAAAAUUCUAGCUUUUGAUUGGUGGAUGGAUAAUAAAUGUAAAUGGCCCCCUGCAUUCACAUCAAUUUCACCAAUCAAAACAAGUCAUUUUCAUGGUAGUUUGUGCUUAUUGUGUGCCCUUGGGCACACAUUAGAAAGACCGAUCUACUUUAUAAUACUCUAACCAUCCUUCAAAGUUUCAGCCACAAAUACUGAAAUACACAAAGGUAGUCAUUGGCCAGCUGAACGCGUGUUUCUUGUUUAACACAAUGCACUGUACAUUUACUUGGUUACAAUUUGAUCACCAUAAAGCAGAUGUGGAAUUUAGACUUUUGCAUUUAACUCUAUUUACUGAAAUUUAUUGGUUUUCAUUAAUCAUCCUUACAAAUUUCAUACAUCCAUUACGUCAACUUUAAUUUCAGCAAAUAAUUUUAUUAGUUAUUGCAAUUUAACCCGGGUCACUGAUAUGAAAGUUUUCAAUAUAUAGAUAUAUAAAAAGUCAUUUAUUUGUAAAGACCGCUUGUCACAGCAAGCAAACACAGAUGAUAAGAAAUUUAAAAUCCCAUCAAAGUUUCCAAUCCCUCUUCCACAACAGUAGACAAGAAACUGCUGGUCGGAUUCCUGGCCGAGCAGUUCGCCCGAAUCUCCCCUUGUGUUCCGGUCAGCACAUUCAACAUCCCCAUCUUCAGCAUCCCAAUAAUAAACUUCUCGUAAAACAAGCUCUGGUUCACAGCAAAACCUGUAACAAUGCUCCGUGUCCUGCUAUCCGUAUACAAAUCCUGGUCCGAAGUGAACAGCCCUUGCCGAUUCAUGAGGUCAACAUAGUACUUGUUGUCGAAUACAUUCGGGCUUCGGAUAUCUAGAUUAGUCGUGUUGGUGGAGUUUGUGGUUGGACAAGUGAUUUUGAGGUUGUUAGCGAAGGUUUGAUCCAUGGUAGAGUCUUGGGUGGGGUAGAGUCUCCCGGUGAAAGAAGUGCAAUGGCCAAUGCCGAUAGUGUGGCCCCCCGAGAGCGCGACUGCGUCGGUGGCGGUGAGAUUUUUGGUGGCCAGAGAGGAGAGGAUGGCACUUGUAUUGGCAGUCGGCGGGGGAAGAUUAGCCAAAGUUGCAUUUCUGGUUGCAAAGUUGAGGCUGUCGCGGCGCCCGAAUGGCACUCGGUAGUUUGGACCACCGGACUGGAUAUAAAAGGAAAGCAAUUUAGUAAAUUUAUUAGGUCCACAUAAAUUUAUGCUCAAAAAACAAGUUUUUAAUGAAAAUGCUAAAAUCUAGUUUUCUUUUUCUCUGUGUGCAAAUAUACACUUAAAUAUUGGAAAAUUAGCUAGGUAAUUACCAGAACAACUGCAUCACGAGCCGCAAGAGCAGUAAUAUCAGCACAUGAGACGAUUCUUCCACAUUGAUUCUGAACUAGCCUCCUGAGUUCUUCGAUGAUCUGGAAAGCCUUGGCCCUCAGUGUAAGGUUUGGUGGUGCAUUUUUUUCGCUAGGUCCACUUGCUGAACCAUCUAGCAAAACUGAGGCAUCACAUCCCUGGCAUCAUCCAUUGCAAACAAGUGUUAUAUUUAUCUGUACAUUUACAUAAAUAAAUUGGUACCAAAAAAUUUGUGCCAAUCAAAUUAUCACCAGCAGCCAAUUAGUAAAAAUUAAAAAUAAAAUAAAAAUCUCCAGCAGUUUGUAAAAAUCCAGAGGAUAAUUAUACAGUAAAUAAAUAAAUAAAAUUACUUCACAAGUUCACAUAUCUGAAUCUCAUUAACAAUUGUGAAUUAGCAAUAUUAUAUUACUAGCUCAAAAACUAAUUAAUUAACUAAAAAAGAACAUACUAUCACACUAAAACUUAUAAAGUAAGAAUGAAUUAUGGUGGUGAGUGUGAGUAUAAAAUGAAGAAACCUGCACAAAACAAUCAUGGAAAUGCAUCCGGAGCAAUCCAGCCGCAAGACCUAUAUCGGAGGCGAACUCAGUCUGAAGCCUGGUCCUGACAAUGGAUUCAAAGUUAGGGCAGCUUGUACUAUAGAAAGUGUAGGAGAGUCCGGACACCAGAGGUGGAGUUUGUGCUUCCGACACGUACAAGAAACCGGAAGAGAGUAGCAAAAGACAUGGUACGAUAAGUAGUUGAGGGAUUAAAGAAGCAGAAGUUGAGGCCAUGAUUCUUGCUUCUGUGUUUGUUCAGGCCUCCAGUGUAUUAAGUGAAGGGAGGAAGCUAGCUGUAUAUAUACAAAUUUUUGACCUAGAUUGCUAGGUGUUGAUAAUCCCAUGCACUUUCACCAACUAGACAAGAAAUUAUCAAGAAGCAUAAAAAAUGUCAAAGUAAUAAAAGGUCUUAAGAUUUAAUAACAUACAAACGUUAAAAGAUAAAUAAAUUCUGAUGUUGUGAUUGGUUGGGGAAAAUGAAUGGAACAGACAGGAAUAGAAUGAGUAAAAUUACUUAAAAUUAAUAAAUGUAGCAAGAAAGUUGUGAAAAAAAAAUCAAGUGAGUGUAAUAUUAUUAUGCUAAGAUUGGUGGUGAAGAAAUUGGGUGUAAUAGGAGAGAAUGGAGCAUUCCAUCUCAAAUUAAAGGUGUGAUUUCUAGCACAUGAAAUAAGGAAUGGAGAAAGAAAUGAAGUUUCCUAACAAUUCUCCAUAACAUAGUUCAUUUUUCAUUCGGUUUCUUCCGGAAUCAUUCACCCCAACCAAAUACAAGGUGUUCAAAUAACGCCAUGCUUGAUAUCCUAUGCACAUUUUUUUUAUAUAUACUUUGAUUUUAUAGCCAAAAAAAAGUCACAUUUUAUCAUUUUUUUAUAUCAAGUCCAUAAAUUUAAUUUAAUUUUAUAAUUAAUAAAUGUUUUACUAAUCGUGUGGAGGACAUGAGCGAGAGCUUUAAUUACAAAAGUCUAAAUUGAACACAUAAAGGUCCAUCUCAAACACGCAAGGUGUCCACGCUCCAAAAUUUUUAAUAUAUUAAAGGUAAACCUAACUACUAGAAUUACUACUAUGACAUGAUGCAUGGGGCAUUUGCCGUGUGCGGCUGAGACUUGAGAGCGAGAGCUUAUAGAAUAAUAUGCUUCCGAUAUAUGCAACAUAAAAAUUAAAGAAAAUAGAGAAGAAGAAGAAUAUGCUUCCAGUAACGGGCCUGCUUGGCUUAAAUGUGUAAUAAUUAGUCAGUAUUAAAUAUAAUUUAUUAAUAAUUUUUUAAUAAUUUUUAAUUAUUGAUAAUAUAAAUUAUUUAAAUAAAUAUUAAUAUAAUAUUUUCAAUUUCAAUCCAUCGAAUCACUCUAAAUUAUAAAUUAUUAACUUAAAAUUAUAUCUUAAUUCAUACGAGCUACACAUGACAAUAACUACAAUAAUACGAGUAAUGACAGUAUUUGUUUUUAUAAUCUAGACAACACCAAAAUUAUAUUAUAAUACCAAUAUGCCCUCUAGAAAAUAAGAGAUAAGCCGUUUUUAUAUACUGAUUCAGCGCAUAGACGCGGGUUAAGUUACAAAAUAGUUUCCCAACCAACAUAUAUAGGCGAUAAGGACAGCCAGUGUAUUUAACAGCAAUUCAUAUUAUCAGACGACUAUAUAUAUUAGUCUAUACAUAAGUAGAAAGUGACCGUAUGGCAUCAGAAGUUUAUCAUAGAUAUUAUAAAAUUAUUUUCACAAUAAAAUAAAUUAUUUCCACAAUAAAAUAAACUUUAUAAAUAGGAGUAUUCAAAGUCAAGCCAGAAGGUCAACUUACUAACAUAUAUCUGAAACAAUUUAAUUAUGCAUCGAAUUUAUACGUGGUAUGUGCACAAUCCACAUGAACACGAGUAGUACACAACAAUAAUUUGAGUGCAAUUAUUUCUCGAUGGCCUACAAGCAAGCAAGCACAAAAAAGUUUCGUUCACAAAAAAUUCAUGUUGUGCGUUUAUGCCAAAGCUCCGUCCUUUCAAACUGUCGCCACAAAUCAACAUACACGUAAAUACAGCCAAGAUGAAUGCAUGUUUGUCGUUAAGAGCAAUCCGGGGUGCCAAAAAGAGUGCUAAAAUGACAUGUGUAAUGAUGUGGCAUGACAUUUUUGUUGACUCUUCAUUGGAGUGGAAGGAGUGUCAAGCAAAGUUACCAAUUUUGGCACCUUCAUAAAAAUAAAAAAAAAUGUAUAAAUCAUUCUAAAAUCAUUUAGUUUCCUAUCUUGUUAUAAUUAUACAUGUACAAAUAUGUGGUAACUUGGGGUGCCAACCAUUGAAGUAAAUUUUUAUGUAAAAGUUGUCCAAACAGAAAAAAAUAAAAUAAUAAUAUUUUUAAUAAUUUAUUGUUUUAAACUAUUUUAGUUAGCCCAUCUAUCCGAGAUGCUCUACCGUCGCCCGUCGGUACUUAAUUAUGCACGGGAUGGUUGAAAAUUCCACAAGGUGAUCAUCAAUUGAAUAAAGACCACGCACGAUGUUUUAAAAUAUUUGAUGUUUUAAUUUCUGCAUUUGUAGAUAAGAAGGUGUCCAAUUUUGACUUAUGCGUUUACGUUCAAAAUGUGCCAAGACUUUGCAUGCAGAGCGAAUCUUUGAAAUCCAAAACUAACGAAACUUACAAAUCUGUGGGGGGGACUAUAACGCGGUUUACACGUUUUUUGGUUGCAAAAGUAAUCUGUACUUGGAAGGCCUAACUUUUUAGGCAUAAAAGACUUAAAAGUAAAUAUUUUUAAAAAAAUUUAUGAAGUGUCAAUCACUAUAUACUUAGAGCAACUCCAGCAGCUUCCCUAUAUCAUGUCCUAAGUCCAAUUAUAAGGAAUGUGACAUAAAUUAGUGCUCCAGCAGUGUCUUAGAAGUGCCUUAAAUCACUAGGAUCCUUCUUACAUGCCUUAUUAAUAAGACACCACUAGUCAUGCCUUAUUUGAUUUCUUUAAUAAAAAAAUCAUUUCUCUCUCUUAUUGUAACUUAUUUUCUCUCUCUUCCUUCCUUCUUUUUUCAAUCUCUUUCCAAAUUUAUUAUUAUAAUAAUAAUAAGGAAUGAAUUAUAAGGAUCAUUGUUGGAGUUGAAAUACAAAGUCUUGUCCUAAAUCACUAGGAUUCAAUAUUUUAUAAUAUUUAUAAGGAAGACACUAAGACACUGCUGGAGAUGCUCUUAUAUAUUAAAUUUUAUAUAUUUAGUUUAUAUUGAUUGACUCAUGUUUAUUAAUAAUGAUGAACUCAUAUAUGUAUAAAUGAAAAUUAGUUAAAUACAUAAAAUUUAAUUAUUUAUUUGUGUCAUGAGCACGUAUUAAAUAAAUCCUUUUGCAGUGUAUUGAGAUAUACGACUCUCUAAAAUAUAACAUAUUAAAUACUGUGAGUACUCAAGGUAGAGAGAUGACACUUUACUUAAUAUAUAGGUAAGAGGGAAAGUUUAGUUAAAGGACUUUCUCUUUACAUAUACACACCUUACAUUCCGGAAUGCUCGGAUGAUUAAUUAGUGAAAUCAGUUUAGUUCUGCACUUUCUCUUCGGUUAUCAUGAUUAGGUGUAGAAUAUAUUAAGAAAUAUUAUAUAUACAAAAUUGGAUAUAAAAUUUUUUAUAAUAUGAUAUGGGUUGAAUUUUGAUUAGAAUAAAUUUCAUGUACUUACAUAGAUAAUAUAAAUUAAAACAUCUCACUCCAUUUAUCAUAUCAUACAGAAUUUUAUAUCCAAUUUUAUGUAUAUUAGUUAUUCACUGUAUUAUUGCUGGAUCACGACACCGCUACCUAACUAGGGGUGAUCAGAAAACCGCCCAAACCGCCCGCACCGCACCGAACCGCACCACAAAACGCGGUUUUUAAUUUUCGUGGUGCGGUUGCGGUUUGGAUCUUUCACAAACCGCGCGGUGCGGUGCGGGUUGCGGUUUUAGUUUUCUUGAAUGCGGUUCAAACCGCACCGCACCGCAAUAUUAAUAUAUAUAAUACUGUUUAAGACUCCNUAAAACUUAACUAUCAGGAGUCCUAGUCCAGCAGUCCAGCACGCAGUAGCCCAGAAGAUAUAGACACUUAUCAGGCUGUUGCUUUUGGUAAUGAAAUUACUUUCUACUUCAACUAUCUCAGUCAGUUUGUUUAAGACUUUAAUCGGUGUGCUACUGUGUUGUUUAAGACUCCUCUGUUAAGUUUUAUUAAUGUUCCAGAUUUGAAAUUUAUGUUCAAAUUUAGAGAUAUUUAAUUAGUUUUAUCGCAUGUGGAAACCGCAGUGAACCGCACCACACCGCACCGCAUUUUCGUGGUGUGGUUUAUGUGGUUUUAGAAUUUCGUGGUGCGGUUGCGGUUUGAGAUUUUGGUUAAACCGCAUGUGCGGUUUGGUUUGCGGUUUUAGGAAAAAACCGCACCGCCCGCACCGCGAUCACCCCUAUACCUAACCGUGAAACGGAAAAAAGAAUCAUAAUGCUCGCCGAUACAUGACAAGAUCUCCCGACCCAUACGAGAGUCUUUUGCAAUAUUGUCAAUGUCCCUCUCAUUUUUUUACAUAUUUUUUUAUAUUUUUCGACACGUAUUUGAAGGCGUAUACAAAACAUAUUUUUUCAUAAUUUUUGUUUGAAAUUUUUUAAUAAAAAUUUAGAUAAUAAAUAUUUAUGCAGAAGAAAAAAAAUUUAAAAUAAUUUAUCAAAACUAUAUUUUAUGAAAAUAUUAGAAUGCGUGCCGAGCUCUUGUCUCCCGAUGUAAACAAUUGAGGGGACGGAGGGGAUACAACUCUAUAAGCCAAGUGAAACUUCAUACAAAAGUGAAUAACAGAGAAGCUAUCAACAAUGGAAGGCCAAUUCAUGCUGAUGCCAAACAGACUCAGCAGUAACAGGAGGAAGCAAAAGGUAAAAAAGUUCUAUGAAUAGAGAGCCAAUGCAGGUAAGCAAGAAAAUGUAGUUUCAUGGACACACUCUAAAAAUACCGUAAUAAAAAGGUGCGCAGAGAGCUAGAGAUGUGUGCGUUCGAGAAGACGAGAAAGAACAAGAAAGAAUUUGCCAGGAAGAUUAGGUUCCUCUAUUUUUAUGGGUCACAGUUGUAAUUCCAGUUACGGUCUUUCUAAUGUGUGCCCAAGGGCACACAAUAAUCACCAACUUUCAUGAAAAUGGCUUGUUUUUAUUGGUUGAAUUGAUGUGCAUACAGGGGGGCCAUCAUCAUUUAUUAUUCAUCUACCAAUCAAAACUCACCAUUCUUAUAGAAGUUAGUGACUAUUGUGUGCUCAUGGGCACACCAUAGAAAAUCUCUUCCAGUUAAUGAACAAAGCACCAUAAGCUCGUAGUCGUCGCAAGUAUUACAUGGUGCAUUGUUGAAUAAACAGCAUACCAAUUCUCGAACCACAUUGAAAAGCACCUAUGUUGUGUUUGGUUGGAGAGAAUGGAAUGGAAUGGAAUGAAAUGAGUAAAAAAUAUUUGAAACUAAUAGAGAUAGGAAGAAAGUUUUGAAAAAAUAUGAAGGAGUGCAAAAUUGCUAUGAUGAGAUUUGAGAAGAAAUUGAGGAUGAGAGAGAAUGGAGCAUUCCAUCCUAAAUGGAAGGGGUGUUAUCUAACAUAUGAUGUAGGGAAUGGAAUGGAGGAAGGAAUGAAAUUUCUUAAAAAUCAUCCAUAAGAUAGUUCAUUUUUCAUUCCAUUCCUUCCGGAAUCAUUCACCCCAACCAAACACAACACUAGUUCUUUCACAAAGUUUAUUCGAAACAAGAAACUUGGGAGUAUAUAUACCCCGAUUACAGUUAAAAGCCUAUAAAUUUGAUAGCUCAAAUUCUUCUGCUACAUCAACAACAGAGGACAACAACGUACUACCAGAGUUUCUCGCCGAACAAUUAGCCCGAAUCUCCCCGUUUGUUCCUGUCACCACAUCCAUCUGUCCCAUCUUCAACAUGGCAAUCACAAAUUUCUCAAAAAACAAGGUCUGGUUAACUGCAAAACUCGUAACAAUGCCACGGGUCCUACUAUCCGUAUACAAAUCCUGGUCCGAUGUAAAAAGUCCUUGUCGGUUCAUGAGGUCAACAUAGUACUUGUUGUCAAACACGUUUGGAGUCCGAAUAUCUUGGUCUGUUGUUCCAUCAACUGAUGCAUUUUGGGGGCAUAUGUUUUUGAGGUCUUUGGCGAAGGUUUGGUCCAUGGUAGCGUCUUGUGGGUAGAGGCGGCUUGUGAAGGAACUGCAGUGAGCUUUGCCGAUUGUGUGUGCCCCGGAGAGUGCAACAGUAUCAGUGGCAUCGAGUUUCUUCUUGGCCAGAGAGGAAAGGAUAGAACUAGCAUUAGCAAAUGGAGGAGGAAGGUUGGCUAGUGUGGCGUUUCUUGUCGCAAAGGUUUGUCCGUCACGCCUUCCCAGUGGCACUUUGUAGUCUGGACCACCGGACUAAAGAAAAGUGAGCAUAUAAGUAUUGUUAGAAUCACAUUUGCUUAGACAUUAAAGGUGAAAAUAGUUAAGCAUUAGUAUAUGUACCAAAACAAUUGCAUCACGGGCAGUAAGAGCGACGAUAUCAGCGCAGGAAACAAUAGCACCGCAUCGCUUGUGGACUUGUCGGUGAAUAUUGUCAAUAAUUUCGAACGCCUUUGCCCUCAGACUCAGGUUUGGUGGCGCAUCCUGCUCGCCUGGUCCACUAGCUGAUCCAUCAAGUAACACUGAAGCAUCACAUCCCUGCAACAUAAGAGUUCAAUAUUUACAACAAAAUCAAUUUUUCAGAGCACGAAAAGAAAUAUAACACUUGUUCUAGUACAAAACUUAAUAGCCGAAUCAACUCAUACUAAGAAAGAUAUACCCUGAGUGGGUGUCAACCAAAGUCGCACACCUCACAAAGAUAAAGAAGAUUCGCAUUGGAUUUAAGCAGCCAUAUAAUUCUAUUAGUAGAGUUUGGAGUUAAUGGGUGUUGUGCGACCAUACAAGUAUAUAACGGUUGUUUUAGUCUAACAUUAACUAAGGGACUGUGCAUAAUAUAUAAGAUGGUACCUGGACAAAGCAAUCGUGGAAGUGCAAACGAAGUAAGCCAGCAGCCUGGCCUAUGUCUGCCUUGAAGUCUUUUUCGAGUUGCUUUCUGACAAUGGACUCUAACUUCGGGCAGCUAGUAUCGAAAAAAGUCAAGGAAAGACCCUUGGCUAUGGCUGGAGUGCCUUGUGCUUCUGAGACAGACAAGCAGGAGAGUAGUAGUAAUAAAAGGCAUGAGCACAGAAAUGGAAUAGAGUCUGAAGAUCUAUUAGAAGCCAUUGCUGUUUACUUACUAAUUAUGAACCUGAAAUGUCCUAGUCUCCAAGGGGGAGUUUAUAUAGAUUAAAACAAGAUCCUUUGUAGGAUAAAACUAGGCCUGGCAAUUUGACACGUAACACGCUAACACGAAACGAAACGACACGAAAAAAAUGGAUACGGGUUUUGAUUUUCGAUACACGAAACACGAAAGUACACGAACACGAAAUUACACGAUAGAUUUCGUGUCGGAUAUGGGUUUUCAUUUGGGGUACACGAAAUACACGAAAGUACACGAAAUAUUUGUAGAUUAUAUUUAUUAUAUAUAUGUAAUGAUAUAUUAAAUAUAUAAUUGAGUAUAAAGUAUAUAUUUAUAUGUAUGUGUGGAUAUAUAUUGUAGAUACAUUAACAAAUUUAUAAAGAAUUGUAUACAAGUAUAAUAUAUAUCAUUCACAUUUAAUAAAAUUAUAAAGGAAAAUAUAUAUUAAAUCCAUUUUUUGAUUAAAAAAUAUAUUAAUAUUUUUAUAUAUAAUAUACACGAAAAGUACACGAAAUAUACACGAAACGAUUCGAAACGGAUACGGGUUUCAAAUUAGGUACACGAAAUUAAUAACGGGCGGAUACGGGUUUCACCUUCGAGUACACGAAACACGAAAAUACACGAAACGAAAGUAUACGAAACGAAACGAUUGCCACCCCUAGAUAAAACACAAAGUGACCAUGUCACGUUAGAGGCGGCUCUAGGGGGAGACCUGACCUAGGUACCGAUUAACGUUUAAAAACUAGACUAACAACCUUCGUCUUGGAUGGUCUUUCUAAAUAAAUGUGUUAAAUAAUUAUAAACAUGUAUACACGAUUGAGAGAAAUAAAUUUGAAAAUCGUUCCUAUUCGUUCAAUUCAAUUAUUUCCGGUUCUUUUAGCACAAAAUAUAUAAUAUGAUUUUAAUAAAAGAAGCAUGGUCGAGUGUAAUUGGAUAGUCCAAGUGAUGGACUUAUCUUCCGUUGUCCAGAAAUACACGAGUUCAAUUCUCUCUCAUCCCAAAAGUUUUACUAGACACCAGUGAAUUGUCGCAUUUCAAUAACAUCACAUUGUUUUACCAGACACCAAUGCAUAGAGUGCGGGAAAUAGUAGUACAAUAAGAUUGUCAGUUUUGCUAUCGACAAAAUUUACGAUAUACUAUUAGUCUAUUACAACAUCUUCAUACAAAACUAGUAGCGACAGGCAAUACUAUGUAAAUUUAUCGUCAAGUUGCAUGUGGCGAACACAAGUUUUGAGGCACUCCGCAUGGUUCCCAUCACUACGUAUCUGUACAGAUAAAGACGAACACACGAGAUGAUCCUGCACAGUAUAGAGCUUUCGACAUUUUAUAAUCUUUAAUGUUGUUAUUCCUCUCGGUUUUUUUAUGUACUUGGGGUUGUUACGGGCAUCUUUUUGGGACACCUUAAUUAUCAAAUUUCCAAUGGAUGAUUUUUUAUUUAUUUUACUUUUGAAAAGAGCCAUGUGCUGAAAGACAUGCAGAUGAAUCCAAUGCAUAAGUCGCACGUCGUACCUACUAACCAUUACAUUAACAAAGUAAUAAUUACUCCUUCUGACCCAGCCAAUUCUUUACGUUUGGUUUGGCCACGGAAGUUAAAAAACAUAAAGAAAGAAAAGUAGAUAAAAUGAUGGGACCUAUUAAUUUUUAAUCAAUAAAAAAGAGAUAGUGGAAUAAAAGUAGUGUGAAAAAAUAGUGUGAAUGGAGUAAAAAUAGUGUGAAAAAGAAAAAAAAGUUGAGAAAUGGUGGGAUCCAUUAACUAUUUUUGGUAAGUUUUGGAAUGUAAAGAAUUGAAUGAGACAUCCAAAAAGGAAACUGUAAAGAAUCUGGUGAAAAAGAAGGAGUAUUAUAGGAGUAUGUUUUUUUAUCAUAUGGAGAGUCCAUCGGCCUCAAAUUCCAUUUUAUCUUUAUUAACGUAACUUGUAAAUAUUUCAAUUUUAUAAGGGUUGUUAGAAUUAAUCUAAUUAAAUCGGAGAUAUCAUCGACAACAUUUAAAAAAACUGAGAAAAAAAUUAAAAAUUCAACACCAACAAUUACUCACUCUGUCCGUCCAUCUAAAUGUUUAUAUUUGGGGUGGUCACGGAGGUUGAAAAUAUAUAUAAAUUAGAUGAAAAAGUAAGAAAAGUGAUGAUAGUAUUGAAGUCGAUUGAUAUAUGUAUAAAGUCUGUUACAAAAAAGUAGCAGUUGAUUUUUAUAUUAUAUAAUUUUACUAUAUUUGAUAAGUUUUUAAUGUACAUUUUAGUCGAUGGAUAUAUAAAAAUGGAAGUGUAAGAAAAUUAUUAGGAUACAGCGAGAAUAAGUUAUUAGAAUUUACCUCAAUCGGUAUUACAAGAGUUGCUCGGAGUUGAUUAAUAUCAGAAGUUAUCACCGACGAUUUUUAAAAAAAAUAUUGCAACAUCAACAACUUAAAAUAUAAGUUGAAUUGCAUGAACUUUAAUCUUUAAUAAAAUUUGACAUUUGUAAUUAUUUUAGAUGUCUAAAUAUAUAAAUAUUAUUUGUAAUAUUAGUUGGAGUGCUUGUGGUUCAAAUAAUAUUUAAUCUUGACUAUAAUUUCAUUUAAAAUAUAUUUAUCAUAUCAUAAUUUUAUAUUUUUAUCUCUCUAAAUACUUUUUAUCAUUGUCAAUUUCAUAUAUCAUUAGGCUUACAUAGGCUGAUCAGGCGCCUCUGAAAACUCAAGAUCGGAUUCAACGGAAAACGGGCGAAAACUUUUUAUUUAUAAUUAUUUUAGAAAUCUAAUAAUUAAAAAUAUUAUGUGCAAUGCUAUUAAAGUUCUUAUACGUCUAGUAUUGAUAAUUGUUGAACUUUCAACAUUUGUUUAACAAUUUAAUGUAGAAGUCUAAUAGAAUUCUUAAGUUAAAUAACUUAAAUAUUUUUGAUAAGUUAGAAAUUUAAUUUUGUAAUACUAUGAAUUUCGCUAAUAAAAUCUUGUAUAAAUAUUAAUAUGAAUUCUUAUAUAUCUGAAUUCUGAAACGUGAUAGAAAUUUAAUAAGUUGUUUCGUAAGUUAAAUGAUUUCAGUUUUUAAAGUGAAAAUAUAUAAUUUGUACGGAUGUGAUUCAAUUCUGUUGAUGGUGUAAUGGUUGCUUUCAGAUGUUCCACGGUGCUCUUGGCAUAGGGUACAGAUAUGUUAGAAUUACACAUCUUAAGCUCUGCCGCUCUGGGAAUUAAUUCGUUUAUUAAUACAUCGCUGAGAUAAAAGCACACUACUAUUUUAACAACACAAGCGUAAAUUAGCGAAAUGUUUUACAAAGCUUAUUUUAACCAACAAAACUGAUCAGGAUUCAGGGGAGUAUAUCAAAUAGGAUAUUGCCUUCAAUAGUUCAGUUCCCCUGCAACAUCAACCAGAGUAGACAACAAUGUAGUAUCCGAGUUUUUCGCUGAACAAUUAGUCCGAAUCUCCCCGUCUGUUCCAGUCACCACACCCAUCUGUCCCAUCUUCAACAUAGCAAUCACAAACUUCUCAAAAAACAAGGUCUGGUUAUUUGCAAAACUAGUGACAAUGUCACUGGUCGUACUAUCUGUGAACAAGUCCUGGUCCGAAGUAAACAGGCCUUGUCGGUUCACGAGGUUGACGUAGUACUUGUUAUCAAAAUCAUCCGGGCUUCUGAAGUCUUGGUCUGUUGUGCCAUCGACUGUUGAGUUUUCGGGGCAGAUGCCUAUGAGGUCAGUAGCAAAGGUUUCGUCCAUGGUAGGGUCUUGUGGGUAUAGGCGAUCCGUGAAGGAACUGCAGUGAGCUUUGCCGAUAGUGUGUGCCCCUGAGAGCGCGACGGUAUCUGUGGCGUCUAGGCUUUUGUUGGCCAGAGCAGAGAGGAUAGAACUAGCAUUAGCGAAGGGAGGAGGAAGGUUGGCUAGUGUGUCGUUUCUUGUUGCGAAGCUUAGUCCAUCCCGCCUUCCCAGUGGCACUUUGUAGUCCGGACCUCCCGACUAGAGGAAUUAGCGUGAAAACAUUAGAAUUGCCAUUGUUUUAAUCAUAGACAAACUAUAAAUGCUAGUAGUAUAUUACUCCCUCCGUACCAUUUUAUUUGAACUUGUUUACUAGCACAGUUUUUAAGAAAUUAGUGUAAGAAAUUAGUGUAGUUUAUGAAUUUGUGGUUGUAACAAAUCUUAAAAAGAUGCUACAAUAAAAAGUCCAUCCUUUUUUGAACAUCCAAAAAGAGAAUGCGGUUCAAAUAAAAUGAAACGGAGAGAGUACUGUAUUGCUAGGAUUCAAGCCAACAUAUCAUAAUAUUAGACCAUAUGAAUAUGGCGCGCUAAGUGAAGAACAGUUUUUGCGGUCAGAAUAACUAUUCUACCCUCUCGUAUAUAAAAGUGUUUUUCUCUCUAUCCCGUACCCGUUUAAGAACAAUUGCCCGCUGAAUUACUGACAUAGAACAAUCAAAAUUUCAUCAGCUAUUUACUUAAAUAUAUACCAUAUACGUACCAGAACAAUCGAAUCACGGGCACUGAGAGCGACGAUAUCAGCGCAAGAAACAACUGCACCGCAAAGCUCGUGCACUAGCCCACGAAUUUUGUCAACAAUCUCGAACGCCUUCGCUCUCAAAGUCAGGUUCGGGGGUGCAUCCUGCUCCGUGUCUCCUGGUCCACUCGCCGAUCCAUCAAGUAACACCGAAGCAUCACAUCCCUGCAAAAUAGUUUCAUGUUCCACUGCAUGUCAGCAAUAUUCGCAACAUAGAUUAUUGCAGCAGAAAGAAAGUAUUCGUUUCAUUUAAUCAAUUUAUCCUCCCCGAGUUGUUCCUGCAUGUCCGAACGCAUUCGGUAUAAGAUAUAAUUCGUUACCUGGACAAAACAAUCAUGGAAAUGCAGACGAAGCAAGCCAGCAGCUUGACCAAUGUCUUGCGUGAAUUCCUCUUCGAGUUGUUUCCUGACAGUGGCCUCCAAAUCAGGGCAGCUAGUGUCGUAGAAAGUCAAUGAAAGUCCCUCCGCUACCGGGGGGUAAUCUUGUGCUUCCGAGACACACAAGUUGGAGAGUAGUGCGAUUAAAACACAGGAGCAUAGAAUUUGAAAAUAGUUGGUAAAAUAAGAAGCCAUUGUUAAAUAUUUUGUUUCUAGUUAUUCUGAGUUAUGAUCUCCAACAAUUAAGGGGUUUAUAUAGAUGAGAAUAAGAUGCUUAUUAGCUUCAAACACCGAGGCCACGCCAUGUACUGAGGCGGCUUUCGGGGUCUUCUCAGAAACCGUAUUAAAUAUUUACAUUGGGUGAUUUAAAAUUGCAGUUGUUGAGAAAGUCGCUGUCAAAAAAGUAAACCAAAAUAGAAAUAAACGUAUUAUGGAAGAUUUCUUCAGAUUUGGCUAUUUAGCUUCUUGCAAACACUAAACGAAAUUGGAUUUCUCGAAUCAAGUUGGUUAUAUAUAUAGAUUAAUUUAUUAUGUUAUGCUGAAUUGAGCUUACAUGUAAAACAAGUAGAUGAUUUAGAUAAUCGCAUCUCCAACGUGAUCGACAUUUGAUACUAGCAAUUUUUAAAAAGGAAUUGCAACUAGGGAAAAAAAAAUGCAUGUGAUGUGAUGAUAUCACAUGGUGACGAUCGAUAAAGUCUUCGAGAUUUUGCUUGUUUUAUAUUUAAAUAGCUGGUCAAGUAUUCCUCUCUGUUAGGUUAUAAAAAUAGAUGAUAUAUUUUUUGAGAACUCUAGAAUUCGAUAAAUUUAAAACAAAUUUAGGGAAGCAAGUAGUUUGCCGAACCUUCGACUAAUUAAAUACCCGAAAUUAAAUUAUGGACCGGUUCCACACCAUAUGUAACUUGUUUGUAAACAUUCACUCUGCUUGCACUCAUUUAUUAAUUUUUUUAAUAUUGGUGAUGAUCAAAUUACGAUAUAUGCGAAUUCGUUUUUAUUUUGUUUUUUUUAAUGUAUCAAGGGAUGGGCAUUAAUCCCGACCCGCCCGAUCCCGACCCGAUCCUCGCACCGAAUGGUGCGGGGAUUCGGGGAUUUGUUCGGGUACGGGCUGGGGAACGGGGAUGACUUUGAAAAAAAAAUCGGGGAUCGGGUCGGGUACGGUUUUUCACAUUCCCCGGCCCGAUCCCCGAACCCUGACUCGAUUUUCCCCGAUUGUCGACCAGAUUAUUAUAUUAUAUAUUAUAUAUUAUAUAAAUAUAUACAUAUAUAUUAUAAUCAUUUAUUAACAUGUUUAUAUACCUCUUUAGGUCAAUUUUAGUCAUGGAUUUUCACAUGUUUAUAAUCAUUUAUUAACAUAUUUAUAUACCUCUUUAAUAUAAUUAAAUUUAUUGAAAUAAAUUUUAAUAAAUAUUUCUAUUAAUAUAAGUCUUAAAACUAAAAAGGUCAUAAUUAAAUCAUUGAAGAUGUUUAUUUAAAUGAUUAGGUAUUAAUUAGACAUAUUAGAAACUAAUCGUAAUUAUGAAUUUAAGUAUUUAAAUAGAAAUUUUAGCUUAAAUUAAAAAUCCCCGAAUCACCGCGGGUAUUCCCGAAUCCCGAUCGGACCGGAGAUGGGGAUCGAAAAAUAAUCCCCGAUGGGGAUCGGGCCGGGGGGGUAUUCCCGAAUCCCGAUCGGACCGGAGAUGGGGAUCGAAAAAUAAUCCCCGAUGGGGAUCGGGCCGGGGAUGGGGAUUGAGUUUGGAUUCAGGGAUCGGGGCCGGGUAUAGCAAUCCCCGACCCCGAAGGAGCCCGAUGCCCAUCCCUAAAUGUAUGGCUAGAAAGUAUUCGCAUAUACAUUUAUUUAUUUUACAGCUGCGAUUGACGAGUGUUUUGUCUGCUACGAAUAGGUUAUGGCCAUAGCAGGUACGAUGGUUUUGGUGGAGACGGAGAUAUAAGUUGAUCGCUCUUGCAACAUGCAAUCUUCUAAAUACGUGUGCUUGUUUAGGUGUCUUUAUGUUUUGGUUUUGAUCGUCUGAUGUCAUGAAGUUGGGAAAAGAAGCUAUCACAAGAUAAUUAUGCUGGUGUUUAACAACCGAUUAUAAAUCCGGUUUCUGAAUUUAUAAGUUUUAAGUACUUAUUUGUAUCAUUUGUGUAAAAAGUCAAGAAGUAUGUAAAAGAAGUUACGAUUACUAGUUUCUGUCUCGGGAUUUCUACUUUUUUUUCAAAUCAUUUUAUCACUUAUAAGUGUUAACUUGUUUCUGACUUUUACUUCAUUUUUUUAUUUUAAACAGAAAACACUUAUUUUAAACUCACCCAAACCCCAUAUAUUAAUUCAUGUCAUCAACAUUUAGAGGAAAUGAUGGCUCACGAAAUUCACUUUCUCCGCAGCCAUCUACGAUUCUACAGUAUCUUCAAGGAAGUUCCUGCGGUGAUAGGAGGAAACUAAGGGCGUGUCUGGCCACGGAUAAGCCCCGCUUCUAUAUAAAAGGGGCUUUUGUUUAUCUUGGAUUGUCCGACUUAAUGAGCAGAACUAAUUUUAAAAAGCUAUCUUAAAGAUCAAUAGCAAUAUUGUAAAACUAAUUUCUUGAUUCAUCUAAUUUAUUUGCAAUUACUUCUAGUUAUAAAAUAGUCAUAGUUAAUACAGUAUAUGAUCAAUAGCAAUUUAACUCAAAAUUUAGCAUUAAAAAACUAAGAACUGCAAAUAAAUUACAAUUUAUUAGAUAUAACCUUACAUAAGCGAUGCACCACCUCUUAAAUUCCAACAUGAAAAACAUUCAUCCUCAAAGUUUGGAUUUAAAGUACAACAAAACUAAACUAAUUAGCCCCUUUCACAAGGUUUAUUCUGAUCUUUCACUAGCAGAACAUGCGCAUGUAUUCAACUUUGUACUCUCCUAAAAGCCUAUAAGCUGGCCAGCCUCCUCAGCCACAUCCACAACCGAAGACAACAAUGUAUUAUCCGAAUUUCUCAUCGAACAAUUGGCCCGAAUUUCGCCCUGAGUUCCCGUCAAUACAUUCAAUUGCCCCAUCUUCAACAUGCCGAUCACAAACUUCUCGAAAAACAAAGUCUGGUUAACUGCAAAGCUCGUCACAAUGCCUCGAGUCCUGCUGUCCGUAUACAAAUCUUGGUCCGAAGUAAACAAGCCUUGUCGGUUCAUGAGAUCAACAUAGUACUUGUUGUCGAACACAUUUGGAGUCCGAAUGUCUUGGAAUACUGUGGCAUCAACUUGUGCAUUUUGAGGGCACGAGGUUUUCAGGUUUUUGGCAAAUGUUUGGUCCAUUGUUGGGUCUUGCGGGUAUAGACGAUUGGUGAAUGAACUGCAGUGGCUUAGACCAAUGGUGUGGGCACCCGAGAGCGCCACAGUGUCGGUUACAUCUAGAUUUUUCCUGGCCAGACGACGGAGGACUUCAGUUGUAUUGGCAGAUGGACCAACAAGGUUGUCUAGUGUGGCCUGUGCUGUUGCGAAGUUGAGUCCAUCGCGUCUUCCUAGUGGUACUUUGUAGUCUGGGCCACCGGACUAAUAUAUCAUAGUAAAAAAAAUCGUCAGAUUGUGUUGAAAUAUUUAUAUGAAUAUACACAAAUGUUAUAUGAAUUAUGCUUUUCUACCCCUCAGGUUCGGCUAAUGAAAGUUUACAACAUGUCAUUUUGUUAAAGAAUGCGAAAUAUUUUGCUUAAAUUGCAAAACAGAGGUACCACUGGUGUCAUUAUCUAGCCUGCACAAAAUUAGAAAACUGCGGCAAGACUCCUUAUCUGUCAAUUGCUUUUGUUUCUAGAAAGAGAUUUAUACACUUAAUUUUUUAGAAUGUGUAAGAUAUUCGGAUAAAUGGGUCUCAACUCUCAAAAUGGAUGAAAUUUAAGUGGCUGUCACACUUUAGACAAGUAAGUGGCUAAAAAGGACAUUCGGAACAUAUGCCAUGUGUUGGUCAUAAAGCUGGACUCAGCCCUCUCAACUAGAAAUUUUAAUACCGCAAUAAUUGACAGUAGAUAAUGGACCAUUUCGACUUGUCUGUGUCUCAUCCAAUAAUAUGGAAUUCAGGAGUGAUAUGAAUAUGAUGGUAUAAAAAAUGUAGCAUUAAGAAACGAAUUUAAGUGUGGUACCAGAACAACUGCAUCACGGGCGGUGAGAGCGGUGAUAUCAGCGCAUGACACAAUGGCACCGCAACGUCUGUGCACUUGUCUGCGAAUGUUAUCGAUAAUUUUGAAUGCCUGGGGCCUUAGACUCAGAUUUGGAGGCGCCUUCUGCUCGCUAGGUCCACUGGCCGAACCAUCCAGCAAUACAGAUGCAUCGCAGCCCUGCAAAUUCGUUUACGUCAGAAAUUACCAUUUGAGCUACACUCUCGCUGUAUUUCUCUCGAAAUAAGUCCUUAUUUUCAUUAUAUAAAAAAAAAAAAGGCAGACAAAAUGCCCUCGGUAUCUAGUAAGCUAAAUUUGAAUGUUUAGUCCUAGAUACAGAGUUGUCAGCUAAAAUGACACAGAUGAUUUUCCAUUAACAUGCUCUACGAGGAUUAAAUAUAUGGUAAAAUAAUUGGAUUAUGGUACUUUCGGAAACAAACCUGAACAAAGCAAUCGUGGAAGUGCAUGCGAAGUAAGCCAGCAGCUUGGCCGAUAUCUUCAGCAAAGUCUUUCUCGAGUUGCUUCCUCACAAUGGAUUCCAAUCUGGGGCAAGUAGUGUCGAAGAAAGUUAAAGAGAGUCCCUUGGCUAUAGGUACAUUUUGUGCUUCUGAGACAUGCAAGUCUGAAAGUUGUAGCAAAAGAAAAGGCAAUAGAAAGAGCAGGGAGCAUAGGGAAGCAGAAGUUAUGGAAGCCAUUUUGGUUUUAGUUUCUGUGUGUUUUUGGUUGUUCAAGAACGGAUUUAUAUAGAAAAAGUAGCCAAGACUUUAGCUGUUUUAGUUGACUAUUCAUAAUAUCAUAGAUUAUUUUAAUAUUUUAUUUAGUUUGUAUACCUCUAGUGUAACAGUAAACUGUAAAAGUUAACUUACUAAAUGAUGGAAGUAGACUUUUAAGAAGGGGUUAAAUAUCAAUCAGGUGAGUCAUUGCAAUCCGAUAACUCAAGUUGGUCACUGAUUCAAAAAGUGACUCAAAUGAGUUACUCAUUUAAAAAUUUCUAUCAAAAAUAUCACUCUAUCUUUAGUCGAAAUUCUGAAAAUUUUAUAUAUUGAGUUUCGCACAUUUUUUAUGAAUGGUAUUGCAUCCAAAUGAAAGGUACCGAGUUCUACUAUUUUAGUUAAUAUUGUUAGAUUUUAAAAUUUUAUCAACUAUUUAUUUUUAAUUUUUUGAUUGUUUUAUUUGAUUUAAAUCAAAAUAAAUAGUUGAUCAAAUUUUAAAAAUCUAAAAAUAUUUGCUAAAAUAGUAGAACUCGGUACCUUUCAUUUGAAUGCAAUACCAUUCAUAAAAAAUGUACGAAAUUCAAUAUAUAAUACUUUCAGAAUUUCGACUAACGAUAAAGUAAUAUUUUUGAUACAAAUUUUUAAAUGAGUAACUCAUUUGAGUCACUUUUUCAAUUAGUGACCAACUUGAGUCAUUGAGCUACAAUGAGUCACCUGAUUGAUAUUUAACCCUUUUAAGAAACUUAGAAUCCUAACUUCUCUCUCACAGCUUCUGCUUCUUUUCAAACACUUUAUUCACUUAUUUACUUUUCACUUCUACUACACUUUUCUAAUUUAAGCAAAAAGUCACUUUUUUUAAACUUGCCCAAACGGCCCCUGUGUAAGGGAAAGUGUUCGUAUUAAGAGCUCGUUUGGACGAGUUUAUAACUUAAUGACUUAACGUGAGAAUAUUGAUUCUCUCUUGAGUGCGAUCCCAAAAAUAAUAUAAUAAAAAUAAAAGUGUUUGGUGGGUAGUCUAUGACUUAUUUAAAAAAUUUAUCACAAAAAUGGUUCAGAAAAAUAAAUCAUUGAAAAAAGUAUCUCAAACUAACUUAUUUUAGACUUUAAGCAAGUUUCUAACUUAUUACAAAAACAGACAUUUCUCAAAUUGAAAUCAUGAAUGACUUAAAACCCAAGCUUUAAGCCCGGGCAAACAGGCUCUAAAUAUGAUACUAAUUUAUUAAUAAAAAAGAUAUCUUUUUUUACAACAUAGAAUUUAUUUAUUAUAAUUAAAUAACAACUGAAUGUUAGUUGAUAAACGAGAAAAAAGGAACUGAACAAGUAUAUAAUAAUCCAUCCCCAGUUUCUAUUAUCACUCCUUCGUCCCAAUAGGUUUUUUACGUUUUUUUUAAAUGUAUUUGACGUUUAAAUUUUUUUUCAAUAAACAAAAAAUUAAAAAUUUAUUAUAAAACUAUACUUGAUAAGAGGUGCAAAAUACGUAAACAAUAAACAUAAAGAGGAAGUAACAAAACAACAAAAUAAAUGUAAAAUAAGAACUUAAGAUGGGAUACAAAAGAAAAGGUUUGCGAUACUAUGUGCCUUCUAUGUUUGUCUCUGGUAGAAUCUUUUGUGUGUAGACUGUAGUCAUUAGUCAAUACUGGUUUCAAUAGUUUGCAAAGUGUUCAACUUUGCAACCCUAGGCAGGAUAAUUGAACAUGUGUCUGAUCAUGGAAUUGUCCUCCACCAGGCCAAAUGGUUAAAGAAAGGUUCGAAAACAAAAUCUUGGACCUUGAUGCCUUUGAACAUGGAAAGUAAAAGCUUAUUGGAAGUCUUAUUCAGAUGAAUUCUAAAUUGGUAACUAGAAUUCUUGAUCUCCAUCUUAUAUACUCUAUACUAGUAUUAUGUUAUUAGAAAGAUAAUAUUAUUUUUUUCAGUCAGUUUGAAUAUGUUGGUGUAUAGUUUUUUUUUUUGAAACAAUAUGUUUGUGUAUAGUUAGUUUCAUAUCCUAUUUAUUUUAAAAAUAUAGGAAUAUAGAUAAUUUUGAUAAUAUUAUAUUAGAAUUUUACUCUACUACAAUCUAAAAAUCCAACUCAAAUAUCAUUAAAUUUUGUAUCUUUCCCUUCACCUCGAUCUCUGCCACCACGUUUGCCACCGUCUUCACCUUGAACUCAACAACUGUAUUUCUACUUCACCCGCCAUCUCGACCCACACACAUGUCAUCUCAAUAUCUACUUUUGUCAUAACGUCAUCAUCUCAAUCCACUUAUGUCAUACCUUCACCUCCGUCUCAUCUCAUACCUCCACCUCCGUCCCAUCUCAGCUCUCAUUUCUGAUGGCCCCAACUCCUAUGUUGCCUCGCCUCCUUUGUCGUGCUCCGCCUUCAUGUACGUCUAUCAGAAUCGAUAAUAAGCACGGUUUUAGAGAUUUUCACUAAUUUUUGUAGGUUUUUAUCAAUCUGUGCAACAUAAAUCAGUAAUCUAUAAAGUGAGCAUCACUUAAUUAGUUAAUUAUAUUAAUAUUUAAUUUUUAUUUAAAGUCGAUUUGUAAUAAACUACUAAUCAUAUUAUAUAUAAACAUUAGAAUGAAGCAUCUAAAUAGUGAAUUGAAGAAAAAAAAAAUUGAUUUUCAAAAUAUAUAUGUGAAGAAUCACAUGGUAUAUUUAGGUGAUAUACUCAUUACGUGUUAAUAUUAAUCAAGCGAUUUCUUUUAGGUUUUCCUUCUAAUAUUUUGCAUGCAAGGGAAAUGUCAUUUUCGGGAAUUGUUUUUUUUUUGUUUCAGAAUUAUAUGCAGCAUAUAUAUUAUCAUGCAUACAUAAUUUGUGGCAUAUUCUAAUAUUUAAAAUAAAUAGCUUGUCUCUACUAUAAAUAGCUAAAUAGAAAAAAGUACUCCAAAAAUAACAUUUCUCUAUGGGGCAGUGUUCAGUUAUUUCUGAUUAGCUUUAGCUAUUAGAUUUCUAAAUUAUUUUCGCAUCCUUAAUUAUAGUUAUUAAUCAUAAUUUCAUGUAUGAUACCUGUGUGUUCUAACCUAACACAAAAAAAAAAAAAAAAAAAUCCUAAUUUUAGCACAUGGUUUGCAAGGCUGUGCAAUACUCGACAUUUGGCCCAAAACUGUAAAGCUAGAGUGCGAGUCUGCGAGACACACAAUCGUCAAAAGUGAACAUAAUAUCUUUCAAAUUAUAUAAAAUAAAUAGUUUAUCCGACUAAAUCUUCAGUUUCAAACUUACUGUUUUACUUUUACUUCUACUGCUGCUUUAUAAGCCUUUUCUUUAAGCGUCGUACAUUAACGUGUUAAAUAAAAUAGACAUGAAUUUCUUCGCUAUCUGUAAAUAUUUUUCAUACAUGUAGCCGAAAUGAUUGCAUUUGAGAAAACCUGGAGUCGUCUAAAAUUGAAUAUCGUUUUGAAAUAGAUAAAGCGUUUGUAAGUUCAAAACAUAUCUAAUCAAAUAUUCAAAUCAGUGCUAAACAACUAGAGCUCUGUUACAACAAAAAAAAAUUUAUGAAGGGAUAAAAUAUAUAUGAAAAAAUAAUAUGUUGAAUCAGCUCCUUAACUGAUUCUGCCUGUAACUCAAAAAAUAAAAUUGUGGAUUAAGCACUCUAAUUAAAAUUACUGGGGGGAGCUUGCCAGAGCAUCCAAUUCAAAGGCACAGCCCGGAUCCAGAGGCAGCCAGUACAAUGUAAAGCCUGACUCCGAAAAAGAAAAUUGACCAUAAGCUUUUGAUUCCAGUAGUGCCCGGUGAGAAAAUGAGGAUUCAUUGAAUGUUGAUAUUUGUGUCUUGUCCGACCAUGAAAAACAACAUGGAACAAAGUGAAACAGAACAGGCUGCUGGUGCAAUUUGACCUGCCAAAACCCAAAAGAGUUCCAUCUGACAAUAUUCUCGGUGCUCUGGUAUAUGCGUUUUGGAUUCAUACCACAAACUACUAUCCACAAAAGUCACAAUCCACGAUCUGAAUGGUGUGCUCCGCGCGAUUAUCCAGAAAUAUAAUUCUUCCUCCGCAUAAGAACAUUAUGUGGAUUGUAACUUGUUUACAUGUUUAAAAGCAUGUAAAUAAAUAUUUGUCCGUCCUCAUACAAAAGAUUUCAUCAGAAACUCAAGUAUUUUGCACAUUUUCCCGUAGAUGCGGUGCUGUUAACUUAGGGGUCAUUUGACAAAUCUGAAAGAUAUAUAUCUGAAAGAUUAAUAUAUCUGAAAGAUCUGAAUAAAUCUGAAAUCUAAAUUCUGAAUGAAUAAUAUUAUUUGAUAAAUAAUUUUUCAUGAUAUCUGAAUGAUAUAUUUUUCCAAUUUUACCCACAUGAUUGAAUAAGGCUAUAUGACACCUUUUUUUUUUUUACAUAAUAUCGGAAUGAAAUUAAUUCACAAAAAAAAAUUAAUUAAAAAUAAUAACUUUUACUAUCCAGUCAGCCCAUCCAAAGGUACGUGCCAAAGUCAAAAGUGUCAAAAAAAAAAAAUAGAGGGAUUAUUUGGUUGGUAAAAAGAAACGAGUAUAAGCAUUCAAAGGUGUUAAAAAAUGUAAAGAAAAUUGUCCGCGGCUAUUCUUCUCGUCCGUGCUCUGUCAAUCGAUUUGAUUGAAUAAAAAAGUUUAUUGUGGUUAAGGGUUAAUAGUGUAAUACUCCCUCCGUCCUUUUCAUGUCUUUACAUUUUUUGGGAUGUCUCAUCUAAUUCUUUACAUUUCAAAAUUCGGUUUUUCUAUGGUGUGCCCAAGGGCACACACUAAGCACUAAAACUUAUAAAUUUGGGAGAUUUUGAUUGGCUUACACUCUUUAAUAAUGAUGGCCCCCCUUGCAUUUACAACAACCACACCAAUCAAAUCCCUCCAAUUUUAUAAAUGUUAGUGCUUAGCAUGUGCCCUUGGGCACACACUAGACAAACCCUUCAAAAUUUACCCAAAAUAGUCAAUGGGUCCCAUCACUUCUUCCUUUUUCUUUCCUUUUCACACUACUUUUACUUUUACUGCACUAUCUUCUUUUUAUACAUUAAAAAUCAAUGGGUCCCUCCACUUCAACCACUUUUCUUUCCCUUUUCCACUAUUUUAUACAUAUUUCUUAACCUCCGUGCCCAACACAAACGAUAAGAAAUGGGAGGGACGGAUGGAGUAUAAAUUUACAUGGAUCAAUCAGCCAGGAUUUCUCAACGGACAUGAUAGAAUCGCUCAGCCCAUUACACAAGUACCCCAAAUAAACUGAAUGAUAAGAAUCGGUAAGGUAUGAGACAUUCACCUAGGUUAAGCAGCAAACAAAUGGCCUCUUACUCUUGAAAUAUUGUAGACAACACUUAACUUUUUAACACACAUUUUUUUAUCCAAUAACAAAGAUAUACUUUUAUACAAAUUUGAGUAAACAAUAUAGUGAUGGCAGUAAUUUCUCAAAUUUAUCAAAAUGUUGAUCGGAGUUCAAAAACUACAUAUGAUGGCUAGAUCUUAUCUCCGUCGCUUAAUAAAGCAUCUGCCGGUCAGGAUGGAACCAGAACAAUUUUCCAAGAAGGCGAAAAUUUUUAUAAAAAAAAUUAAGGACAAAAUACUACAAAAUUAUGAGUUUUGAGGGACUAAGUACUACAAAUCCAGAUCCCAUGAACCAAACGACUUUUUUUAACUAUUUUCUAAGAAUUAUUUAGAGUCGUUUUGAAUUUUUACAUAUAUUUUGAAUUGUGAAAAAUGUAUUUUUAUGUACUAAUUUUGUAAUUUGUUUUUCUAAACUUAAAUAUAGAUAUUAAAUUUUUAUUUAAUAAGGUUAUAUACAUAUAUAUAAUUUUAUUAUCCUAAAUUUUAUAUAUAAAAAAUCGAUGUUAUUAUUUACGAACAGUAGGAGUAUAGUUUAAAUAAAAAUCAUGAGUAGUUGCUCGGAAGAAAAAUCAUUAAUGAUUUGAAUAUUCAACAGUUUAUCACUGUUUAUGCACCCCUUUGGGCUGAAGAAUGGGUCAUGCUAGUGGACCAGGGCUUCCCGGGGGAGCAUUGAGAUAUUGGGCCCGAUUAGAUUUAUUGCUGGUAGAAAUUUAAAUUUCGGGCUCACUUUAGGCCCGUGCUGGAAUUAAAUUACUUCUUGUACAGGACUGCCUUUCAACUUUUUUUAUUCCAGAAUUACUGAAUUUCAACUUUCAAAAAUUAUUUUUUGAAGUCUCUGAAAAAGAUGUUGAAGUAUUCAACACUUUAUUUCAAACAGUUCAAUUCAAGUUAUAUAGACGGGUCCAAUUUAAUUUAUUUCAAACUAAAUUCGCAUAUUUUACUUCGAUUCGGUUUUACCCUCCAUUAUAGGUUAAGAGAGGUGUAUUGGAUUGAGAUUUUAAAGCAUUUUUUUGCAUUCAUGAAAUCCGAGUAUAUUCAAUUGGGAUUGUUUGAAACCUAUUAAAAUCUUGAGGUAUUUAAUUGGGAUUUUAAAUUAUGCUACAAAAUCUGGUGGUAUUCAAUUGAGAUUUUAAAUUAUGCUUUAAAAUCCGAUGGUAUUCAAUUGGGAUUGUUUAAAAUCCAUUAAAAUCUGAUGGUAUUCAACUGCUGAUGGAUUUUUUUUUCAUUUCAUAAAAUGAUGGAUUUUGUGACAUUCUUCGGUGUAUUUUAAGUUUUUUGAAAUCCCACCAAAAUCAAUGGGAUUUUGAAGUAUUGUACCUAAAUCCUACCAACUCUGCGACAUUUUAUCAAGAAUCCGCACAAAAUCAAAAUCUCAUACAAUUCAUUAAAAUCCAUUAAAAUCCCAAUCGAAUACACCCCCGUAAUUUAAAAACAACACUGUAUCAUUAAAACUACCGGAAGAGUUUAUGCCAUUAUUAUACCUCCGCAUAUUUUCCAGGGUUGUGAAAAGCGCAUUAAGCGGCCGAUUAAGCGGAAUGGCUUUAAAAUGCUUCGAUUUUGUACUAAGCGCGUUAUUAAGCGUUUUUGAAAAUGAAACGGACUAUUAAGCGGAUUAAGCGGUCGUUAAGCGGAAGCGGCCGAUUAAAGCGGCUGCCUAAACGGAAUCGGCCCUAAAACGCUUCGAAUUUGUACUAAGCGGAUUAUUAAGCGUUUUUGAAAAUUAAACGGACUAUUAAGCGGAUUAAGCGGUCGUUAAGUGGAUUAAGCGGUCAAAAUGAUGUUAUUAUUUUUAUAAUAUAACCAUAAUGAUAUUAAAAAAUUUUAAAGAAUAUAUAUUAUCAAAAUAUUAAAAUUUUAAAUUCUUACCACAAUAUAAUUUUUUUUAAUAUAUUAAUAUUAUAUUUAAAUAUUUAAUUAUAUAUUAUUAAUCCGCUUAUAAAUCCGCUUAAAUUCCGUUUAAACGUCCUUCUUACCAUUUAAGCGCUAGGAGGUCAUGCCCUCCGUUUGGAACUGAUUUACGCUUUUCAAAACGUUAAUAUUAGUAUUUUCGGGUGAUAGCAUUCAUUUUUGUUUGGUUAGUGCUACCACGGCACCCAGGCUUUCAACUUUGAAUAUUAUACUCGAGUUGCCACUAGCCGGAAAACUUACAUGGCGUACGGUUCUGUAAUGACAAACUAAAUUUAAAAUUAAAUUAAUAAAUCCAGAUUAUAUAAUCCGAGCCGUGAUUUUAUAACGUCUAAGAACUGGGCCCACGGAUUUUAAAAAGAGAACAGUCUAUAAUUUAUGAAGAGUAAUUACUGCCACGAUAUUAAUUAACAUAAAUUCCAAAAACGUGACGUAUUUAGAAAGAAUAGAAGUAGUAGCAGUAGUAGUUGCCUUUUCUUUAUUUUUUUAGUUUUGAAAAUUCCCAUUAAUCCUUCAUUUCCCCCAAGCAUUAUAAACACUCCACAAAACCGUCUCUCUCUCUCUCUCGGAUCACAAAGAAAGGCGCUCUCUCUCUCCCCCCCCUCUUCUCUCUCUCUACUUCUCUCUCUCUCUCAUACUUGCACACACCGUAGAAUCCCCACAAAAACCCUCCUCAGUUACUCGUUGUAGACCUAUUAGGCAAAGGUGUUUGAUAUUUUUAAGUACUAUAUUGGGGGUUUUUGAGCUGAGAUUUGUGGUGGGUUUUCGAGGAAAGAGAGACUAUGAGCAGUCACAAGUUUAGAAGGUUGUUGUGAUUUGGGGGUUUCUUUAUUUCUGGGUUAUGGCAAAGCGCGUGUAUGAAGUUUGGAAAGGAAGCAAUGUAAGAUUUGCGUUUCUCUUUCUUUGGUGUCUCUUGCUUUGAUUUGCUGCUCUUUUUGUCUUUUUCCGACUGGGUUUGUUUUUACUUGCUGGGUUUUGUUUGAAUUUAGUUGGGGAUUUGUUUAUUGAAAUUUGGAUGUAUGUUUCUUACAGCUUCGGAUGUGCAUUGGCUUCUCUGUUUAAUGAAUUGAAGUAGUUACUAUGGGAUUUAAAGCUUAUUUGUUGUGGUUUUGGGAAAUUAGACAUCUAGUGGGAACGAUAGAGAAUCCGGGAAUAGCCUAAGCCUACUAGGUUGUGUAUAAGAUGAAUUUAUCUUUUUGCAGUCUAUUUAAUUGAUAGGGUAUUUUUUUUUUAGAGUGAUGUUAGAAGCCAUCUGCUGACUUGCUGAUGCUACUCAUAGUGAAGUACAAAAGAGUAGACUUUGUAAGUAGGGAAUGAUAUCAUGGGGUAGGAGUUCAAGUAGUUAAGCUAAGAGGUUCUAGGGUAAGUGAUGAAAGGCGUCAUUCAUAAUCAUGUAUAUAAUACUUAUAUCUAGAUUGAGAAGGGGGCCAUGUGGUGUUGCUCCCUGAUAUGAUGACUUAAUCAAGUGCAGUAUCUGAUUUGACACUGUUGAAUAUACCAACCAAUUCCUGCAUAAGUUGUCUUUACCAUUAAUUUGUUAGGUGAGCUUGGAAGAAUAAAUUUUGAACUUCAGUUAAUUGAGAGGAUAAUGUUGUAGAAAUUAGGUAGAAUAGAUAAGUUUGUGCAUGAAAAACUUAAGAUUAUGCCGCUUCCAAGGGAACUUAAGAACCAUUUUAGUUUUGGGCCGCUUUGUCAGAAUCAGAUAGUGCUUCUAGAGUAAAUUUACGAUUAUGGGAGCUUUAAUAGCUACGUGACGCCUGAAUGGUAUAUCAUAAAGCAACAGUAGAAGUAACUGUUAAUACCAAAACUAAUUUAUGAGUACAUAUAUAUAAUAUAAAAAACUGGUUGGCAAGUGUUUAUAGUGGGUAAUAGUUUCUCAUUUUUCAUGUUGUGAAAUUUAUCAUGCCAGUUAUAUGCAGUCUGCCCCUUGUCCUUCGUCACCAGUUAGGUUAAGUGAUUUGUUUGUCACGUCAUGUAAACCUUUAUCACCAAUUGUGAUAGAUUAGAUUUUAUUUUGUCACUUGUCAGUAUUAUUAAAUUGCAAGAAAGAACUUCUUAAGCUCUUUCCGAUCUUUUUCUCUUAGAUAUGUUCCCUUUUUCAGUAAUACGGUCUCAUUGCGUGAAUAUAACAUAUAGAAGCGAGACUCGGAUCCUCACUACGUGUGUUAUUAAAUUAAACGAUUCCAGAGGUUUAAACAAGAGUUGUGCACACUUCUCUAUAACCCUCAACUGUUUUUAUUAGUUUUCUUACUCGUCAUUCUACCUAGAAUACAUAUGCAAUCUAGAGCCAGCAUGAUUUUUUUUUGUAAAUCAGAUCUGUAUUUGUGGUUGCCGAUUAGCCAUGCACUAAAAAAUAGCAUGUAAUAAGGAUAAGUGUUCUAUUCAGAACGAGUAAUCAUAGUAGUAAAGUACAGUCAACUGUUGUUGUCAUUCUUGGUUAUGUCAGCAAGUUAUCCUAAUUUGACAUUUCUAUGAUUAUCUGCUAACUACAAUGUAUUGUUUUUUGUAUAUAUCUUUUAUGAUGAAAUGUUUUUAUUGCUUUGCUGUCAGAUUCUCUGUGUACAACAUGUAAUAUUGUUUAUUUUGCAGAAAUUCUUUCUCCAAGGGAGGUUAAUAUUUGGGCCAGAUGCGAGGUCAGUUAUUGCCACUAUAUUGAUGAUCACUGUUCCAGUAGUCCUCUUUUGCGCAUUGGUCGGAAGACAUCUUCGGCAUGAGUUUUCACAAUAUAACGCGGGAUAUGCCAUCCCAGUGGUGGCAGUUGUCUUUACCAUUUAUGUUAGUUAUCUGAAUCCUUAAACUAGCCUUUCAUGUUUAUGUUGUUUCUAGUUAUCUUCAGUAGCUUGAACACUGAUUAUUAUGGAUAAUGAUCAUAUGAUUAUGUGAGUCGGCAUGUUGCUGCUAUAUGAUUGUUGUAAUGAUGGUUUACGACAUUGACAUAGACUUGUAGUCAUAUUGCUAAUUAUGAAGUAAUUAAUGUCUUAUUAAUUUAUUUCUCUUUUGCAAUUUUUUAUUUAUUGUAAUGUAUAUUGUUCCUAGUUUUUGCUUUAUACCAAAUAGAGCAUGUCAACCUGGGGGUUUUGUUAAGCCUGCAUGUCUGAGUCUAACAAUCUUUGAGUCAGGUAUCUCUUUUUGCUGCAUAUUAUGAUUAUUUAGUUUAUUUGAUAGGUAUUGGUGCUUCUUCUUCUUACAUCAGCCCGGGAUCCAGGUAUUGUUCCCCGUAACUCACAUCCACCUGAAGAAGAGUUCCGAUACGAUACUUCUGCAUCAGCUGAGAUUGGGGGAAGACAGACACCUAGCGUACAAUUUCCCAGGACAAAAGAAGUUAUGGUCAAUAAUAUUCCUGUCAGGGUAAAAUACUGUGACACUUGCAUGCUUUACCGCCCUCCCCGUUGUUCACAUUGCUCUAUAUGCAACAAUUGCGUUGAGCGUUUUGAUCACCAUUGCCCUUGGGUGGGUCAGUGCAUCGGACAGGUACUCACUACUCAGAGAUAGUUGCAAAAUCCCCAUUUAUGUUGUGUCAAAUUCACUUGGAUUCCUAGUGUUUAUGGUAUAGAUCCGUGACUAUCAUUUUAAAGCCAUAUUAAUUUUAAGUUCUAAUUGCCCUUAUAAUUUGAAUUCCUACAGCGCAACUACCGGUACUUUUUUCUAUUUGUUUCUUCUUCGAUGCUUCUGUGCAUCUACGUGUUUGCCAUGUCAGCCUUGUAUUUCAAAUUUCUGAUGGAUGAUCAUGAAGAAACAGUUUGGUAUGCUAUGAAGCAUUCACCUGCAUCUGUCGUGCUAAUGCUUUAUUGCUUUGUUGCACUCUGGUUUGUUGGUGGACUCACUGGAUUCCAUUUGUACCUGAUAAGCACAAAUCAGGUCAGUUGAAUUACCUUUCCUUGAUUGAAUAAGACUGAUCUCGUUGCUAAGAAGCUUCAGUUGCUUAAAUUAUGAAAUCAUUUUCGUAUACAUCUUUUAGUAUGGAGUAGACUAGUGAAGAGCACAUUUAUUUUUAUGUAAAAUAAAUGUUCCGAGUACGGCAUAUUGACGCUAUACAAAUUGAGUUAUGAUUUAACCAAAAUUAAACAAUGAAGAGAUUAAACAAUUUACUUUAGUAUAUUCUCUUCCAACAUUGACCAAGUUAUCAAUUUUAAACAUUAGAUAUAUGUGUCUCUAGUUUACCCAAUUAUGCAGAAAACCAGACGAGUGUUUCUUCAAAUUCAACACUAAGCAAAAUUGGAUUAAAUGGAUCUUGAAAUUUCAGGACAAGCAUGUAAAUAUAGAUACAAAUGAAAACAUCUGUGUUACUUUUUUUUAAGCUUACACUAGGAUUGUCGGUGAUCCUUUCUAGUACUUGUGAUUGAUCUCGUAAACAUGGGCUCCACGCAAGGACUUCCUAGUUUAGGUAAAUGUUUUAUAUGUUCUGCCGAAGAAGUCAUUAUUGGAUUGUGGUAUUCUACUGAUUGGUUCAUUGGUACAUGUGUGGAGCCUCAAAGCACUUGUUCCAUAAUAAAAAUUAAUAUAUAACUUUGUCUACAAUUUAAGUAUUGGUUACUUAGUAGUUUUAUGUUGCCUAGUUAUAUAUUAUUAAUAUUUAAUAAGAUUUUAAGGUAAAUACUAUACUAAAAACAAUAUAAUGUUUAUAAUUAAAAUGGCAUGUUAAUGUAAACAAAAACAUUACUUGUAUUAACCAAGAGGAAAUUGCAAAUCUAAUAUGUUCAUAAGGAAAGCAUUUUGAAUGGAAGACUGACUGCUGUGAUUCUUCUAGCGUUCUAAUUAUACAGAAAAUAGGCUAUUUUAUAUAUAUAUAUAUAUAUAUAUAUAUAGAAUAUGUCAACUGAUCAUUUUAUUUGAGACACAAGUACACAACUGACCAAAGAUCUUUAAUUCAGCUUAUUUAUAUAAAAAUAUAGAAUAGAUAUGUAAUAUCACACAUACAUUAUAUAUUCAGUUGUUUCAGUAUUCCUUUUAUUUAAAAGUUCCCUUGAUGUUUGUGAUUAGUAAUGUAAUUACUUUAGGGCUUAGGCAUGGUACUUAAUAUAUUGAAUGCAUAUAUUUUAAUAUGAAUCGCUACUAUAUUUGUUUUAUUUUGAUUUCACUUCUGUUAAAGAAUUAUUUAAAUAUUAUAUAGCUAUUUAUAUUAGUUUCUACUUCUUAAUUUGUAUAAAUUAUAUAUUAAUAUGAAUGAUCAUAUAAAUAAAUGUUGAUAAUUUUCGAUUCUGAUAUAUAAUUAUAUUAUUUAGUAUUUAUUAUAUUUUAAAUUAAUUUUUUAUGUCUCAGUUUAUAUACUCCCUCCAUCCCAUCAGGUCCUUUACGUUACUUUUUGGCACGCAUUUUAAGGCUCUUAUAAAGUAUACUUGCAUAAUAUAUAUAUAUUUUUAAAUUCCUAUAAAAAGUUUGACGUUUAAAUUUUUAUUCAAAAAAAGAAAAAUUUUAAAAAACGUUAUAUAUCUAUACAUUAUAAGAGUACUUCAAAAAAAUAACUAUACAUUAUAGGAGCCUCAAAAUACGUGCAAACAGUGUACGUAAGCUAUUUGUUGGGACGGAGGGAGUAGUUAUUAGGUUUACAUAUACCAUGUGGUUUGCACAUGUUAUAUGCUUGUUUAUAUUAUUUUGAUGACAGGGUUUGUAUACUUUAAUGGUCUAUUCUGUCAAAUUGGCAGAUUGCCAAAAAGAAUGUAUAUGAAGAAAAUUAGAUAAUCGUAAAAGACCAACUCAAUAUUCAUCUUUUUAUUUUAUCAGUAGUAUUUACAUGGUUGUCAUUGUGAUUCCAACCGAAAUGGCUGUUUGAGUUGGACAGUUACUGAGAUAUACACUACAAAUGUUCAUAAUAUUUGUUCUAUAUACAUGAUUUGUUUUUAUCUAUCAACAGCUUUAUAUGCUUCUAUAUGCCGAUGCUUCUCGACACACUCCUGCAUUUUAGUCCAGACAAAUGAAUUCUGAGACAUGAUAUCCAAUGUAGAGUAGAGUUGUUGAGUUAGUGAAGCUGGGUAUGCUUUUACUAGCUGCUUGUUGUUCAUAAAAUUUAUUUUCUUUCUAGUGUGGUCUUAAACAUCAGUUUGGUGAAGGACAAGAGGAGAGUGGGACUGUGGGUUUUAGGACAACUUUCAGGAUGAAGUCCUGAAAGAGAAACAGUCAGUAACCGAUAUUUGCAAGCAAAAUAAUAGACUAGACUAGAUGAAUAAAAAAUGUAAUUUGCCAAUUGCCAUCAAGGUACAAUAAGUCCUUAUCAUUAUGGUGCCAUUGCUAUUUAUUUUUUUUCCGGAAAAUAUUUAGUUUGCUGAAUUUUAUCUCCACACACACACACACACAUAUGUAAUAAUUGAUGAAAAUCUUUUUUAAGUAUACUGCAUGGAAGGUGCAAAUUUGGGACUUUUAUAUGAAGGGUUUGGUAGAAUUAGCAAUGCUUAUUCUAUAGAAAAGUCCUGUAGCUUUUAGUGUCUGUUGUUAUCUGGGUUAAUUGCAUUUCAUGGGCAACAAUGGGGCCUAUUGGGUAUUUGGUAUGUUUUCUUUAGGUGUGCUGUGGAAUUAUGGACCAUGUGGUUGAACUUAAUAUAAUAUUUCCUUUCCAGACUACCUACGAGAAUUUUCGUUACAGAGCUGACAACAGGAUAAAUGUCUACAAUCUGGGUUGCUUGAGUAAUUUUCAAGAAGUAUUCUGUACAACCAUAAAGCCUUCAAGAAACAAAUUCCGAGCCUAUGUACAGGAGGAGGUACAAAGGCCUCCUUUGCCUACCAGUCGGACCUCAGAAACCCAGGAUGCCAAUGAGGAUCGGCGCAUGAAGGUAGAGGAUGACCUAGAGCUUGGAGGUGAUCUAAUGAAAAUCUCUCAGCGACACAACAUUGAGGAUAUUGAGGCAGAUAUACGCAGCAGAGGAAGUGAUAUCCAUCGUCAUAAUUCCUCAGAAUUUGAUUCCGUUGUGGGAUCAGACCGGAGACCUCCCACAGGUCACAUGGAUACAAGGCAUUCAAGCUGGGAAAGAAGAAGUGGGAGUUGGGAGAUUGCGCAAGAGGUCGUUGGUGUCCCCUCCAAUGUCACUGAAAGUAAUGGCUACAGUGCUUCCAAGGAAGAGUCUAAAUGAGAAGGUUUCAAGGAUGUUGAUCUUGUUGUGCGAAAUGCAAUACAUAUUAUUGUUGGUUUCAGGGGUAAAAAGAGUUGAUGGCCUUUUCGAGUGCAUGUAAUCAAUUUAACCCUCAUCUUAGGUAGAAAUUCUACAUUACUUUUGUUUUAAUUGUUCCUGGUGAUACAUGCACUUCUUUUCUUUUAGAAAGCGGGCAGAAAAUGGGGGAUGUGUUAUUAUUUAGAGAUUAGUGUGAUUACUAAUUUCUUUUUCGCUUGUCAUUGAUUUCCGGUUAUUAUAGUGGUAAUUUGGUUGUUAUUUACAGAUUACUUCCCUCCUGCUAUAUAUGAUAUGGAUAUCCUUUUUUCCUUUAUCUUCAAAUUCCUGUUAUUGAACUUUUAAGUGGCAAGUAAAUUUGGUGGCUCUUCUUGUAUUUCGAUUCGGAACUGCUGUUGAUAUGACAUGGGUAUAGAGAGAUGAUCAAUAAAUCUGAAAUCCAAUCCAAUCCGGAAAAAAAUCGAAAAAUCUGAUUUGAAAAAAAUCGGACCCAAUCCAAUCUGCAGGUUUGAAGAUUUUGAAUAGACUUACUAUUUUUCAAUCAAAUCCGGCCUGGAUUUAAACCUGGAUUCUAAAAACUCUGGAUAAACCUCGGUUUCACGAAAAUUAUCCAGAUAUUAACACUAUUUUUCAAUCAAAUCCGGCUUGGAUUUAAACCUGGAUUCUAAAAAUUCCGGAUAAGCCUGAAAAUUAUCCAGAUAUUAACACUGAAUGUUUAUAUGAUAAAUAUAAAUAGGCUGUGUACCCUACUAAACUCGAAAUCCAACCCAUUUUAAAAUCCAAACACAAAUAAAUAUGACCCAACUUCGUGAGUACAACUCCAAAGUCCAAACUCAAAUGAAUCCCUAAAUUAAAGUUUACACAACUUACGAUUCUACAUUUGACCCGCAAUCAAGGCUGAGGUCCUGAAAAUCUCUCUCAACUCAUGAUUUUACAAAUGCAAGUAUUCGAAAGUUUAAUGAAAUAUUAAAUUCAUUUUAUUAUCAUUAUAAUACGGAGCAAAUCCACGUGAUAUUCCUGUUGAAACCGGUAGUAGCAGAGAAAUUGCACUUCAAUUAGCUAUUUCCCGCAAAAAAUCUAAAAUUAUAGAUUCAAAUAAUGAAUUGGCCAAAUAUAAAAUGACUGAUUUCGUGGGUGAGCAAUUAGAUAUACUAAAAUUCUGGAAAAGUCAUUCAUGUAAUUAUCCUAUCAUGACCACAAUGGCUCCUGAUAUUCUAAUAAUGCAAGUAGCAUCGGAAUUUGCGUUUAAGGGUGUUAAAUGGAAAGAGGAGUCGUUUUAAUCCACAAUCUCUGGAAGUGUGUAUAUGCUAUAAAGCUCAUCUCGAUUUAGAAAAAAAAAAAAGACAAGUUGUUCUUUCCGGUGAAAAAUCUUCAGCAGAAGAAGAAAUUUUCACUGAAAAUGAAGGAGAUUCAUCCUAAACAGUGCAUUAGGCACCUUUCCUGUCAAGGUUGUCAAGGUAUGCAAUGGGUAUCUGAUGUUGAUUUAGUAAAUAACUAAAACAGUGCAAUUCUCGGUAUCUGAAUAGUUUCAUCAGCUAAUGCCUUCAAUACUUAAUGGUUAUGUGAUUUUGAUUUAACAAUAACUAAUACCGUGCACUUUUCGCUUUCGGUAUCCGAAUACUUUCAUCAGCUAGCUUUCAAUACUUGCUAAUUUAAUACUAUGUCAAAUCAAGUUUAGCGACAAAGUAAUUAGUGAGGAAUUAGAAUAAAUAAAAAUGAUGAUAGUGUUUUGAACUAAGUGGAAUAGUAGUUUAACCGAAUUAGAAUAAAUAAAAAUGAUGAUUAGUGUUUUGAAGCACGUGGAACAACGUUUUAAUCGAUGUUUUGAAAAGAGCAAAUCAAUGUUAAGUGACAGUACUUUUUAGCGCUUAAAAGGUUAAUUAGUAUGACUUUCAAGUGUUUAAGUGAUUAAAUUAGCGUUAAGUAGAAUUUUAAGCAAGUUCAGAGACGGCUUCGAUGUUCAUAAGAGAAUUUUAAGCAAGUCCUGGAAUAGGUACGGGAUGACUUCGGGAUCGGGAAGUGCUACACCGCACUCAUCCCUAAAUUUGAUACCAUCCCCCACACUCCUGAACGAAGAUUCUUUUUCUUCCUGAUCCCCACUCCGGACAGGGAACAAGAAUUCCUGCGGGGAUUAGAGAAAUGAAUUUAAAGUAUAUUUUAUAUCAGAAUUUUUAAUAUGUGUCUAUGAGUAUAUACUAACAACAAUUUUUUGGAAGAAUAGUAAGAAUUUUAUUGACUCUUUUCAAUAAUAAUAAUGAUCUUUCUGCAUACACAACAAAAUUCCACCGAUUAAAAUCUUAUACGAUUAUUAAUAUAUGAACCUGAGUACACACUCGAAAAAAACGUUUUAUAUUUGAACAUCUCAAAAUUUAGUUUGGUGUAAAUUCUCAUUCGAUAUGCUUAAAAGUUGAAAUUCAAAUAAUGGGACAAUAGUGUUCGUAAAAUCAUGCUGAUCACUACCACAAAAUGUGUAGCUAAUCCAUUCAAAGAAAACACAGAUUUUUUUUUUUUUUUUUUAACGUAGGAACCCGCAGCCGCUAUCUUUCGAGUGCGCACUGGGUAAACCCACGAGCUCACGCAAUAGCCUGCAAACUACGUGAACCAAAGUAAACCGCACCUAAGCGCAACAGGCUCUGAUCCAGUCCAGGAGGCAUAAUCACAAAUUCUGCUUUCUUCGGGAGUUGAACCUGUGACCAAGAGGAUACAUGUCCUCUCUUUAACCCGCUGAACCAACCCUUGCGGGCAGAAAACACAGAUUUCAGUAGCGAUCAGCCGAUCACCCAACUUUUACUGUUUCACCAAGGCUAAAUAGGUAAAAACACCCAGCGACAGCUCUUCUAUUCCUCAUUUCCACCUAUAACUUUGAUGAUUCAAAGCUAACAAACACGUCUACAAAGUAUAUGAUGCACGUGUACAAAUUCAUGAUGUUUUUCUAUACUCUACCAAAUAUAUUGUUCUAUAUCCACGUUACAUAUAAUUUUACGGUCCGGCGCGGAUAUAUGCAUGUCAGUACCAUGUAUUUGACAAAAACAAGUGAUUCAUAAUAAAAUUUUAAACUUUUUAAUAUAUAUAGGAAAUGUUACAAUAUCAUUUAUUUUAAAACUUCCUAAACCUAAUAAUUCUUAAUUUUUUCCAAUGAAGAAAUGCUAUUAUUAUUCAUAUAUUUUGAUCAACAGACAUAAUUUUAUGUUUCUCAAAAAAAACAGACAUAAUUUUAUGAUUUUUAUCAUGAUAGUACUAGUGAAUUAGAUAUGCCACAUCAUAGUGUUUGAUUUCACGAGCUGAAACUGAGCAAAACGGUCCCACCUAAUCCGCCCUGCACUUCCUACUUUAUGUUUUGUAACGUACUGUAGCGUCAAACACGUGUCCAUAAGGAUUCAUCCUCACGUGACUCCGCACGUGUCACUGACAUGGACAUGUGUCUUUGUUUGUUUGUGAAAAAUAGAGAUAGGCACCAAUACUAAAGGAUAUGCAUCGAUUUUGAGUUGAAAAGCAUUCUAGAAGGUAGGUAGCAAAUUUCUCAACUUACUAGUUACUAGUAAUAUUUCAAGCCUUCUCCCUCCGAAUUCCGAUCGUAUUUGUCCUAUAAAUGCUUAUUAGAUCUUUAAAACUCGAUUCUCUUUGUAUAAAACUAAAUUCUUUUUCCUAAAAUAUAUCCUGUAUUUAUUACACUCAUUUUCAUUUCAUUUGUUCGAAAAUUAUAAUCUAAUAACAACAAUUAAUUGAUAAUUAUUCUUCUUAUGCCUCUAAUAAUCUAGCAAUAAUUUUUAUUUAAGGGCAACUAUUACUAUAAAUAAUUGAUAAAUAUUUAUUAUAAUGCAAUGAGUAUGAAAACUUAAUGUAAGGAGUAUAUGAUUAAAAGAAAGGGGUUUUCUCAUUGUCUAAAGUACUGUAUUAUAUACUGUAUGCAACUAGUUGCAACCACAUGUAACUAUACUUGUAAGAUACAACCAUACUUGCAAUUUAUGUAGGGCCAAUUAACUAAAAUUGCAUAUGUUUGCAUCUACUUACAAAUCAUUAUUUUUGUAAAUAUUUUCUAAAAUACUAAUAUUUGCCCGCAAGGGUUGGUUCAGCUGGCCGUUAAAGGGUGGACUUGUAUCUUCUUGGUCACAAGUUCGACUCCCGAAGGAAGGAAAAUUUGUGAUUAUGCCUCCUGAACCUGAUCAUGUCGCUUAAGUGUGGUUUAUCUGGUAGCGUCUGCGGGUUCCUACAUUAAAAAAAAAUAUUAAUAUUUUUAAAAUAUAAUAAAAACGCAAAAGAAUUGAAGAAAUGGUAAUUUUGAUAAAUUUCUCCAAAAAGAAAUUCCCUAUAUAAUGCUGUGUAUUUCCUUUCCUUGUGAAAAUGAAUUUGAGUGGUAUAAAAACUAUCGCUUGAUUCGGUUCUACGUAUAAAGCUUAUACUAGUAUACAAUUAGUACAUGUUACGUAAUUCGUAUGUGCUUUAAAAUUAAUAUAUAAUUCUUAGUUUGACAUUCGUGAAUUAUGUAUAGCAUUUUAGCAUGCGUGAAAGUUAUAUUCGGUCAUCUUUGUUGCAGUCUUUUAAAAGCAAUCGAAACUACCAACCCACAAAUUGAACUUAUGCUCUUUUCAGAAUCAAACGAUCCCGGUCAACUUUUUAAUUUUUUAAUUUACUGUUUUAAGCAGAUAUCCAUUCUACGACUUUGGUGAUAAAAAUAUAUGUAACUAAAGAAUUAUUAGUUUCAGUUUGGUUAAAUUCGAAACCGGAAAUGCUCCAUUUUAGCUCUAUCUCAGAUGACAAGACAUUAAAACCAAUGAAGCAAAAAGAGAGGAAAGAAUAUAGAACAACCUUGUCCAGUUGUCCUACAUCAAACGCUGCAAAACAAAGUUCUGUGCAACUUUUAAUCGCUUUUUCAGCAUAUAAACAGGUACAAAUAUCAAGUGUAACCGACCCACAAUUCAUAUUUUGGGUGCUAAAUCAAUUUAUUGGUCAAGAUAUUAAAAAAACAAAGUUACGAUCAAUACCCGCAUGGCUCAUGGCUGCAGCCUGCAGUGCUGCUUUCCCAAAUUUAAGCUAGGUCGCAGUAUUAGGAAUGUUGAUAAUAUUAUUUAGAUCUUUAAAACCGGCUGUAGAUACAUGAUGUUGCUAAACUCAGGAAUGUUGAUAAUUUUAUUUCCCGAGCCAAGUUUUAAUCGAAUCGAGCCGAGUUUUAAUAUAUUUUUUUAGCGAGCCGAGCUGAGCUCUUUUAUUGAACAAAAAUUGUGUUUGAGCUCGAACUCGUUAACUAACGAACUGAACACGAGUUUGUUGAAGAACAAAUACGAACCGAGUCGAGUGGAGCCGAGCCGUGCCAGAAAAAAAAGUCAAACCAGUACUUGACUCUUCAAAUAGCAAAUUGAAUAAAAUUAUUUUUUCCCGAAAUUUUGGUUACGUCACUAAAAUCUAUAAAUGUAUUAGACGUUGAAUUCUGGGUUCAAUAACAUGUAUAUAUAAAAAAAUAUACUAAAAAUAUUGCAUUUUUUCAAGUUUUAACUAGUCGAACGAGUUUGAGCCGAACACACUAAAAACUCUGCUCGAGCUCGUUUACUUAACGAACACAUUUAUGUGUUCAAGCUCAAACUCUUAACAAACAGAGCCUAAUCGAGUUUUUAUCGAGCUGAGCUCGAGUUUGUUCACGGAAAGCUCGGUUCAUGAACAGGCGAACAGCCCGUUGCCAAUUUAAAAAAUGAAAGUUCCGUUAUCAAUCUAAAAAGAGUGUAUGCUCACAGAAUAUCUAUUCUAGUCUUGGUAAAGUAGAUGCUAAGAGCAAGUCCAAAAGUGUCCUAGUUCAUGCCUCAAAUAUAAUAUAAAAUAUUAUGUCCUAAUAAUUUAUGACAUACUUUACUAACUUGAACUCCAAUAAUGUGCCUUAUUCUCACACUAUGUUUAAUAUUUUAUUAUUAAAGACUUUCUUUCAUCAUUUAAGCAUAAUAUAAAAGUAGAGAGAGAAAGAGAGUGUGAUGAGAAUUUAUAAUAAAAUAUUGAAUAGGGCAAGGUGAGAUGUGCCCCAAAAAUAGGGCUUGGGGAGGUUGUCCUAGUGAUAUAAGGCAUCACUAGGACAUUGUUGGAUCAAUUUUUUUGGUCAAUUAUCCUAAAUUAUAACUUAGGACAUGAUAUAGGGCAUCUCUUGGACUUGCUCUAAUACCGAGUUAUUUUAACGUUUGGUGGAGGCCUUUUGGCAUUUAAAUAGAGAAAUCACGGGGUUUUCUCUAUAUUUAAUGGAGCACAAUCUUUUUUUGCACCCCGAAAACAUGCUGAGCCUCCACAGAAUGCAGCUAGUCCAUUGGUUCCUUCUCCAACAGAUUAAAUGCAUGUGUAUAUCUACUAUAUCAAGGCAUCAUUUCAAAACCCUACUAAAUUGUAUUCAAAAAGGAAAAAACCAUGCUCAUCAGCACAAAGUAUAUCACCUUACAACUCAACAACGAUAAAGAUUUUAUCAUGCACCUCUUUUUAAUAUCUCUAUAUUUUUUUCUUAAGAAAAAACAAAAAUACUAGUACUAAUUACUAGAAGAUGGGGGGAAAUAUUGGCCGGGCAUUCUGCUUGAUGUAGCCGGAAAAUCCUGGCUACUACCCUCUCCCCUAGUCCCGGCAGCUGGCCUCUGGAACAAGCCUGCGAUUUGCUGAUUCGGGAACGGCUGACCAAACGGAGAAUUCAGCAUUGUGACCGAAGAUUGCGAGGAGAAAGAACCACCAAAUGACUGUGUAGGAGCUGUUGGGACAUUCAACAUUUGAUGCAAUAAGUUAGGCUGUUGGUGCAGUUGAAGAUCUCCACUGCUCUGGAGUAACCGAGAGUAUUCGAAAUAGUCCUUGAGAGUGUCCGAAGCUUCGAAUUGUUGGCUCAGAAAUGGCGCUGGCUGAUGGAAGGCCGAGGAGCUGGAAUUGGCCAUUCGGGGUUGUGGUGGAGGAGCUAGUGGAGGUGGGAUCAUUCGGACGUUUUCGGGGAAAUUGAGCUUGGCUCGGCUGCCUCGGAACCUGAGGGCAGCUUCAUCGUAGGCUCUUGCGGCAGCUUCGGCUGUUUCGAAUGUGCCUAACCAGACUCUAGCUGCUUUGUGCGGAUCUCGUAUCUCUGCUGCCCAUUUGCCCCAUGGCCUUUGUCGGACUCCUCGGUAUUUUCUUCUUUCGUAGGAUGCUCCUGGCUGCGCAGAUUGGUCUAUCUCCGCGGCCGGGGGCGGGGUUGCAUCUGCUGCGGCUGGUGCAAUGCCAUCUGGUUCUUCUUUUACUGCAACAGAAUUAAUUCAAUCACCCCAUGCAAUAUUGAGUUGCUUUAGUCCAUUUUAUAUGUCAAAAUUGCAAUACUUGCUCUCUAUUGUUGCAUAUAAGAAACAUAUAAAAACCACUAUAUCAUUAAGCUGAAUAAUUUCAUCAUCAACUAAUUGCAAAAAAUAAAAGUUGUAAAAUUUGAAGCUGUUUGAAUAAAA
rnacentral:lncRNA from 1 species